rnacentral:rRNA from 1 species
UACGGAGGGGGCUAGCGUUGUUCGGAAUUACUGGGCGUAAAGCGCACGUAGGCGGCUUUGUAAGUUAGAGGUGAAAGCCCGGGGCUCAACUCCGGAACUGCCUUUAAGACUGCAUCGCUAGAAUUGUGGAGAGGUAAGUGGAAUUCCCGGUGUAGAGGUGAAAUUCGUAGAUAUCGGGAGGAACACCAGUGGCGAAGGCGGCGACCUGGACAGAUAUUGACGCUGAGGUGCGAAAGCGUGGGGAGCAAACAGG